rnacentral:rRNA from 1 species
GCAAGCGUUAUCAGGAAUUAUUGGGCGUAAAGAGCUCGUAGGCGGUUUGUCGCGUCUGCUGUGAAAACUGGAGGCUCAACCUCCAGCCUGCAGUGGGUACGGGCAGACUAGAGUGCGGUAGGGGAGAUUGGAAUUCCUGGUGUAGCGGUGGAAUGCGCAGAUAUCAGGAGGAACACCGAUGGCGAAGGCAGAUCUCUGGGCCGUAACUGACGCUGAGGAGCGAAAGGGUGGGGAGCAAACAGGCUUAGAUACCCUGGUAGUCCACCCCGUAAACGUUGGGAACUAGUUGUGGGGGCCAUUCCACGGUCUCCGUGACGCAGCUAACGCAUUAAGUUCCCCGCCUGGGGAGUACGGCCGCAAGGCUAAAACUCAAAGGAAUUGACGGGGACCCGCACAAGCGGCGGAGCAUGCGGAUUAAUUCGAUGCAACGCGAAGAACCUUACCAAGGCUUGACAUAUACGAGAACGCUGCAGAAAUGUAGAACUCUUUGGACACUCGUAAACAGGUGGUGCAUGGUUGUCGUCA